rnacentral:tRNA from 1 species
GGCCAGUUAGCUCAGUCGGUUGGAGCGUAGUGCUGAUAACACCAAGGUUAGGGGUUCGAUUCCCGUUCAGUCCC